rnacentral:lncRNA from 1 species
GGAAUGGCGGGAAAGGGGUUAGAAAAAACCAAAGGCAUGGCCUAGCAGAAGAGACUUCUGAGCACGCAGAGUCAUGUCCAAAGAGUCUGUCCACCAAGACAAGAGUCUGUCCUAUACCCCCAAAUUAAUACAGCUUCAGCAAGCCCAUUUUACAGAGAAGGUCAUCAAGGCCCAAAGUGAGGGAAUGUUUCCCCAGUGCUCCUCUCUGACCAUGGGCUCAAGAAGGGAGACAGUCCAGGGCUGGAGAGAUGGCUCAGAGGUUAAGAGCACUGACUGCUCUCCCAGAGGUCCUGAGUUCAAAUCCGAGCAACCACGUGGUGGCUCACAACCAACCAUCUGUAAUGGGAUCUGAUGCCCUCUUCUGGUGUGUCUGAAGACAGCUACAGUGUACUUAUAGAUAAUAAAUAAAUAUUUAAAUAUUAAAAAAAAAGAAGG